UGCGUAGGCGGUUUACUAAGUCAGAUGUGAAAGCCCGAGGCUCAACCUCGGGACUGCAUUUGAAACUGGUAAACUAGAAUACAGGAGAGGUAAGUGGAAUUCCUAGUGUAGCGGUGAAAUGCGUAGAUAUUAGGAGGAACACCAGUGGCGAAGGCGAGUUACUGGACUGUUAUUGACGCUGAGGCACGAAAGCGUGGGGAGCAAACAGGAUUAGAUACCCUGGUAGUCC
rnacentral:rRNA from 1 species